rnacentral:rRNA from 1 species
CCCUUAGAUGUUCUGGGCUGCACGCGCGUUACACUGAUGCAUUCAACGAGCUUAUAACCUUGGCCGAGAGGCCUGGGCAAUCUUGUUAACGUGCAUCGUGAUAGGGAUAGAUUAUUGAAAUUAUUAAUCUUGAACGAGGAAUUCCUAGUAAACGCAGAUCAUCAAUCUGCAUUGAUUACGUCCCUGCCCUUUGUACACACCGCCCGUCGCACCUACCGAUUGGACGGUCCGGUGAAGCCUCGGGAUUGUGGUUCUUGCCGCUUUAUUGUGGCGUGACCGCGAGAACUUGUCUAAACCUUAUCAUCUAGAGGAAGGUGAAGUCGUAACA